rnacentral:rRNA from 1 species
UACAGAGGUCCCAAGCGUUUUUCGGAUUCACUGGGCGUAAAGGGUGCGUAGGCGGUCGGGUAAGUCUGGCGUGAAAUCUCCAAGCCUAACUUGGAAACUGCGUUGGAUACUAUCCGGCUCGAGGAAUGGAGGGGAGACUGGAAUACUUGGUGUAGCAGUGAAAUGCGUAGAUAUCAAGUGGAACACCAGUGGCGAAGGCGAGUCUCUGGACAUUUCCUGACGCUGAGGCACGAAAGCCAGGGGAGCAAACGGG